GAAAGACCAGUUUAAAAGAAAUUGAAAAAACAACUUUGAGCGGUGGA
rnacentral:rRNA from 1 species